AUGGCGUCGCCCGGGUCGCGGCGGCGUACGUGCGGAUCAUGGCCGACACGAUCCUCGGCGGCGGCGGCCACGGCUUCUACGUCAUGCACUGCAUCGAGACCUCCUACAAUGCGAGGAUGGAGGAGAGGCUGCGUCGAUGGCAAGCUUGAGUGCCUCUACCAUGGCUGGCAGUUCGACGGCCAGGGCAAGUGCGUCAAGAUCCCACAGGUUAAUGGAGCAAUGAUGUGGUGGUAUAACAUAUCUGCGGCGGUUCUUCAAGCAGCUUUCCAUGUGGAGGAUCGCGUCCAGGGUCGUCGUCAAGCCCUCGCGCGGCUCAUGGGCAUAGGCUGGUCCAUGCACGCUGGUGAUGGCGGCUCACCAAGGUUGUCGUCGUCGCCUGCACGCACGAGGCACCUGACGACCUCCUCCAUCGCCAGCCACGAGGACCGGGCACGAGCUGCAGUACAGGUCUCGUACACGAGGAGGCCCUUGUGGUCGCCGCUGGAGGGGCUGGAGCUUGGCGGCAGCCUGGCGGAUGACGGGGGCCUGGACGGGGGCUAUUUCUGUAGCAGGAUGAUAGCUUAA
rnacentral:rRNA from 1 species